GAUGAACGCUGGCGGCGUGCCUAAUACAUGCAAGUCGAGCGAAUGGAUUAAGAGCUUGCUCUUAUGAAGUUAGCGGCGGACGGGUGAGUAACACGUGGGUAACCUGCCCAUAAGACUGGGAUAACUCCGGGAAACCGGGGCUAAUACCGGAUGACAUUUUGAACCGCAUGGUUCGAAAUUGAAAGGCGGCUGCGGCUGUCACUUAUGGAUGGACCCGGGUCGCAUUAGCUAGUUGGUGAGGUAACGGCUCACCAAGGCAACGAUGCGUAGCCGACCUGAGAGGGUGAUGGGCCACACUGGGACUGAGACACGGCCCAGACUCCUACGGGAGGCAGCAGUAGGGAAUCUUCCGCAAUGGACGAAAGUCUGACGGAGCAACGCCGCGUGAGUGAUGAAGGCUUUCGGGUCGUAAAACUCUGUUGUUAGGGAAGAACAAGUGCUAGUUGAAUAAGCUGGCACCUUGACGGUACCUAACCAGAAAGCCACGGCUAACUACGUGCCAGCAGCCGCCGUAA
rnacentral:rRNA from 1 species